AUCCUGGUGCACGGGCUUUACGUGAUUCAGUGAAGGUACGCCUGAGAACACGUUUUUGCUAGUUGAAAACUAUAACAUGACCACUCCUAGUUGGCUUCGGCUGGCUAGGGAAUUUUUGGAACCCUCUUUUCUUG
rfam:Valsa mali var. pyri strain SXYL134 unplaced genomic scaffold scaffold00020, whole genome shotgun sequence.